rnacentral:rRNA from 1 species
UACAGAGGGGGCAAGCGUUGUUCGGAAUUACUGGGCGUAAAGGGCACGUAGGCGGCCGCCUAAGUCAGACGUGAAAUCCCUCGGCUCAACCGGGGAACUGCGUCUGAUACUGGGUGGCUUGAAUUCGGGAGAGGGAUGCGGAAUUCCAGGUGUAGCGGUGAAAUGCGUAGAUAUCUGGAGGAACACCGGUGGCGAAGGCGGCAUCCUGGACCGAGAUUGACGCUGAGGCGCGAAAGCCAGGGGAGCAAACGGG